CGGAGAAUAGUUUAGUUUAGAAUCCUAGCUUUGGGGGUUAGGGGUAGGAGUUAGAAUCUCUUUUCUUCGA
rnacentral:tRNA from 1 species